rnacentral:misc_RNA from 1 species
AGUGCGCGUCGUCGGCCGCGCCGAGCGCAUCUCCCGUGCGGAGAGCGAGGAGUACUUCCACUCCCGCCCGCUCGGAUCACAGAUUGGGGCGUGGGCGAGCAGGCAGAGCAGCGUUGUCGCCGAGGGCGAGGUGCAGGCGCGAGUGGGCUACCUCACGGAGAAGUUCGGGGACGAGGUGCCCGCGCCGGACUUCUGGGGCGGGUGGAG